AUUGAACGCUGGCGGCAUGCCUUACACAUGCCAGUCGAACGGCAGCACGGGUGCUUGCCCCUGGUGGCGAGUGGCGAACGGGUGAGUAAUACAUCGGAACAUGUCCUGUAGUGGGGGAUAGCCCGGCGAAAGCCGGAUUAAUACCGCAUACGAUCUACGGAUGAAAGCGGGGGACCUUCGGGCCUCGCGCUAUAGGGUUGGCCGAUGGCUGAUUAGCUAGUUGGUGGGGUAAAGGCCUACCAAGGCGACGAUCAGUAGCUGGUCUGAGAGGACGACCAGCCACACUGGGACUGAGACACGGCCCAGACUCCUACGGGAGGCAGCAGUGGGGAAUUCUGGACAAUGGGCGAAAGCCUGAUCCAGCAAUGCCGCGUGUGUGAAGAAGGCCUUCGGGUUGUAAAGCACUUUUGUCCGGAAAGAAAUCCUUGGCCCUAAUACGGUCGGGGGAUGACGGUACCGGAAGAAUAAGCACCGGCUAACUACGUG
rnacentral:rRNA from 1 species